GCUGCAUCGAGCGGGCAGGUCUCCAGCGCCAUGGUCGGCAUCUCGACCGGUGCAGAACAACAGGCCGCUGGUUUGCGCACGGUUCAUGAUUCAUUGCAGGACAUUCGGCGCCGUGCCGACGAGAUCGACACGUCAGCUGGCCGCGUACGCGAGCUGAGUGCGCAGAUCGGUGAUCUGGCGGAAACGCGUC
rnacentral:misc_RNA from 1 species